rnacentral:rRNA from 1 species
CGUAACAAGGUAGCUGUAGGUGAACCUGCUGCU